AUUGAACGCUAGCGGGAUGCCUUACACAUGCAAGUCGAACGGAGUGGCGAACGGGUGAGUAAUGUACCGGAACGUGCCCAGUAGCGGGGGAUAACUACGCGAAAGCGUAGCUAAUACCGCAUACUAUUGGAGCGGCCGAUUUCGGAUUAGCUAGUUGGUGGGGUAACGGCUCACGAAGGCGACGGUCCGUAGCUGGUUUGAGAGGACGACCAGCCAGCAUGGGGCUGUGGCACGGCCCAGACUCCAACGCGAGGCAGCAGUGGGGAAUUUUGGACAAUGGGGGAAACCCUGUUCCAGCCAUCCCGCGUGUGCGAUGAAGGCCUUCGGGUUGUAAAGCACUUUUGGCAGGAUAGCGGUACCUGCAGAAUAAGCACCGGCUAACUACGUGCCAGCAGCCGCGGUAAUAC
rnacentral:rRNA from 1 species